AUGCUCAUUUCAACAGCACACACACUAAAACUGGAAUAACACAGAGAACAUUAACAUGGCCCCUGUGCAAGGAUGACAUGCAAAUUCAUGCAAUAUCUAUAUUUUUA